GGCCUUGCUUUGUUCAGCAUAAGGACCAGAAGAGCAGGAGCAGGAAAGCUCGUACUGGAGAGUGGCACCCUUCUGCCAGAAGGAAAAUUGCCAACUGAGAGAAGUGAUCUCCAUCUGCUGAGGGGGGACAGUGCUUCCCCAUCUCCCUGGGGCUGCAUUUAAAUGGACUGAUGUUCAUAAAAAAUCCUUUCAAUGCCUCCUGCCCAAAAUUCUCCAAGGAAAAUGAUGGCACAAAGAGCUGUGGAUCCUGACUACACUUUGAAGAAACUGCAGGCAGCCUCUUUUUGUCUUCCCUGUUUACUUUGUUUUUCUGAAAUGUUGAUGCACUGAGAAGUCAAGCCAGGAAAAAUAGGGGAAAAAAAACUUGUAUUCCUAUUUGACAGAUUUUUGCUGUUGAAUUAAAACUUCAAAGAAAAUGAAAAUAAAAACUUAGAUGCUUUAGCUAUCUGACCUUUUAUCUUUGACUGACUUCUCAAAACCACUC